AGAAAAAAACACCCUGUCCAUUUGACUUAGAUGGUAACAUCGCAGUUCAGACCAGCCACAUACCAGGCACUCAGUAGCCACACUUGGUCAAUAGCUGCUACAUUAAAGUGUAGCUUCGACGACAGGGGAUGAAGAUCCUGAAAAAAUCUUUUCCGCCAGAGGUGAAGGAAGAGCCUCUCCCUACCAACAUCUCUCUUCAGUUCCGAGGGUGGAACAGAUACUGUCCAUGUAAAAAGCAGAGGGCAGCAGGAAUAAAAUAAUCACAGGUACAUCAUUGCUGGCCCACCUGUUGGUGUACCUGUGAUUAUUUUAUUCCUAAGUUAUAAACUAAAGAUCUCUACAUUGUAAGCUAAAGACUGUUGAAGUAAGAAACUAAAUAAUACACAAAUACUUGCAAAGAUAUUUAUUUGUAAAUUGGCAUAAUUAAUAUUGUUAAAUGUCUGUAUUACACAAAAUGAUCUGCAGAUAUAAUACAACCUUUAUCAAAAACCAAUGACUUUCUUCACAGAAACAUUUAAAAACAAUUCCAAAAUUUAUACGGUACUAGAAAAGACUCUCACUAUGCAAUAAAAAAAAAUAAAAAAAAAAACAAACCCACAGCUGAGAACAUUCCCCUACCAGACUUCAAAAUAUCCUGCAAAGGUAUAGUAGCCAAAACUGUAUGGUACUGGCUUAAAAAUUAACUCAUAGGUUAAUGAAGCAGAAUAGAGAGACCAGAAGUAAAUCCAUGCAUUUACAAUUAAUUGAUUUUAGAUGAAGGUGACAAGUUAUUAAAAAAAGAGAGUCUCUUCAAUAAAUGAUGUUGGGAAAACUUUAUAUCCACAUGAAAACAAUAAAAUAAGACCCUCAUCUCAUACCAUGUAUAGAACUCAUCUAAAAUGAAUUAGAAACUUGAAUUUAAGACUUGAAACUCUGAAACUUCUACAAGAAAAAAUAUUGUUAAAGCUUUAUAACAUGAGUCCGGGCAAUGAUGUUUUGGAUUUAACCUCAAAAUCCUAGAGAACAAAUGUAAACAUAGAUAAAUCAGAUUAUUUCAAAUUAAAAAGCUAUUACACAUCAGCAUUUGCAAUCAAGAGAAUAAUAAGACAACUAAAAUGUGUGAGAAAAUAUUUCCAAAUUUUACAUCUGACAAGAGGUUAAAUAUCAAAAAUAUAUAAGAAACUCAAAUGACUAUACAACAAAGAAGACAACUAUUAAAAAUGAGCAAAAGGCCAAAAUAGACAUUUUUCAAAAAAGGACAUACACAUGACAAACAUAUCUUUAAAAAAAAGGUUCAAUGUCAGUUAUCUUCAGGGAAAGGCAAGCCAAAACAUUGAUAAGAUAUCAAUUCACUCUUGCUAGAAUGACUCUUAUUAAAAAGAAAAAGAUAACAAGUAUUAGUAAAUAGGGGAAAGAGAAUGCUUAAACACUGUUGGUGUGAAUAUAAAUCAGUAAAGCCAUUAUAAAAAACAGAAUGAAGAUUUCUCAAAAAGAUUAACAUAGUACUAUCAUAUGAUGCUGCAAUUGCACUAUUGGGUCUAAAUCCCAAAACAAAUAAAAUACGUAUGUUGAAGAGAAAUCUGCACUACUAUAUUUAUUGCAGAACUCUUCACAGAUUCAUAGUAUAGAAUCAGUCUAAGUGUCUAUCAUCCAAUAAGUGAAUAAAGACAAUGUGGUAUAUAUUUUUUGUUUGUAUGUAUUUUUUAUAUAAACAUAUAUAUAAUAUAUAUGUAUAUUUCAGGUUAUAUUUAUAGUAUAUAUAUUUAUAUAUAUUGUGUAUAUACAUAUUUUGUGUAUAUG
rnacentral:lncRNA from 1 species